rnacentral:rRNA from 1 species
CACCUCGGUUAUACGAGAGACCCUAGUUGAUAGCUCCGGCGUAAAGACUGGUUCGGAACACAAAACAAAUAAAGUCAAACAACCUCCUCGCAGUUAUAAGCAUUCUGAGAGCAUGAAGCCUCACCACGAAAGUAACUUUACUACCUCCGACCCCACGAAAGCUGAGAAA